rnacentral:pre_miRNA from 1 species
CUUGGCACUCGAGAACGACUGCGCGGAUGACGCGGCGAUCGACGGUGCCAAUCC